CCUACGGGUGGCUGCAGUGAGGAAUAUUGGUCAAUGGGCGGAAGCCUGAACCAGCCAAGUAGCGUGCAGGAUGACGGCCCUACGGGUUGUAAACUGCUUUUAUACGGGAAUAAAGCGCCUUACGGGUAGGGCUUUGCAUGUACCGUAUGAAUAAGGACCGGCUAAUUCCGUGCCAGCAGCCGCGGUAAUACGGAGGCUGCGAGCGUUAUCCGGAUUUAUUGGGGUUAAAGGGUGCGCAGGCGGAGGCACAAGGCAGGGGUAAAAUGGGGGGGCCAAACCCCGCUCCGCCGUUGAAACUGUGUCCCUUGAGUGCGCGAAGGGUAGGCGGAAUUCGUGGUGUAGCGGUGAAAUGCAUAGAUAUCACGCAGAACUCCGAUCGCGAAGGCAGCCUACCGGCGCGCAACUGACGCUCAUGCACGAAAGCGUGGGUAUCGAACAGGAUUAGAUACCCCUGUAGUC
rnacentral:rRNA from 1 species